CAUGGCUCAGAGCGAACGCUGGCGGCGUGCCUAACACAUGCAAGUCGAGCGGUUCUGUUGGGGGCUUGCUCUCGACAGAGUAGUGGCAAACGGGUGAGUAACACGUAGGUAAUCUUCCUUCGAGUGAGGAAUAACUUCGGGUAACCGGAGCUAAUACCGCAUAACAUCUUGGAACGGCAGUUUCAAGAUCAAAGGGGGCGCAAGCUCCCGUUUGAAGUUGAGCUCGCGUCCUAUCAGCUAGUUGGUGAGGUAAUGGCUCACCAAGGCUCCGACGGGAAGCCGGCCUGAGAGGGUGGCCGGCCACACUGGGACUGAGACACGGUCCAGACUCCUACGGGAGGCAGCAGUGGGGAAUAUUGCGCAAUGGACGAAAGUCUGACGCAGCGGCGCCGCGUGGGUGAUGAAGGCCUUCGGGUCGUAAAGCCCUGUUGAGGGAGAGAAAGCUACUGUCGGUUGAUACCCGGCAGUGGUGAUAGUAUCCCUAGAGAAAGCACCGGCUAACUACGUGCCAGCAGCGGCGGUAAUACGUAGGGUGCAAGCGUUGCUCGGAAUUACUGGGCGUAAAGGUAGCGCAGGCGGUUUUGUAUGUCGCAGGUGAAAUACUCCGGCUUAACUGGAGAAACGCCUGCGAAGCUGCAGGACUAGAGGACAGGAGAGAUGGACGGAAUUCCCGGUGUAGCGGUGAAAUGCGUAGAUAUCGGGAUGAACGCCGAAGGCGAAGGCAAUCCACUGGACUGUUCCUGACGCUCAUGCUCGGAAGCUAGGGGAUCAAACGGGAUUAGAUAC
rnacentral:rRNA from 1 species